GAGCUUUGAUGCAGACCUGACAACAGCUCCCGCUGACCCCACGGGGAGCUUUAGAGCUAAAGUGAGCCAUUGGAAUUUCCCCAGACUGAAGCUGGGAAGACUGAAAGAAGGAGAAGAAGAGGAUGACACAGGAUGAGAUGGUUGGAUGGCAUUAUCCACUCAACGGACGAAUCCUAGGGCUGUCUGCAGAACACCUUGUUUCCUAUCUGGUCCGUGUGAAGUAAUGAGACAAGAAUGUACUGGCAGAAACAGUCAAGGCUGGAAAGGCAGGACCAGUGAGCUUCUGGAAGGAGAAAAUCUCGAGUUUGCCAAGAGUCUCCCCUACUGGGCUGAUGACACCUAUUAAAACUCCAAAAAGGAAAAUCCUCCAGAGGUCAGGCAGCAGGCGUUUCAGUCCCAGGUCCCACUGUUUCUCAAUCUGAACUGAGUCUGGCAACGGCGCACCAGGGUUCCAGGUGCCUGAAGGAACAUGAAUUGUUUUGCAACUUUAAAGAAGCAAUUGGGAAAGAACAGAUUUCAUUGAAAGCAUGCUCAUUGUGGAUUUAAAAUUAUAGCUAUGUGGAUCCUGGGGCAGAGAAAAGAGCAAGAGUCAUCUUGUGACAGAAACAGGGUUCCUGAAUUUGCUGGGGAAAGAAGUGUCUUCUGUUUUAAUGAGGCAACUCUGGCAGAGGAGGGGAUCUCCUGGCCUGCUCCUGGAUGGAGGGUACCCACAGGAAAGACUAAGCCAUGUUUAGAAGCUUAGGAUUCUCAGCCCUGCCCUCAUUCUCUUGAGAAGAGAGAAGGACUGAAAAUAGAGUAAACACUCAAUCAUGCCUAUGUGAAGCAUCCAUAAAAUUCCAAAUACACAGAGUUCAGAGAGCUUCCAGGGCUACACAUCGCCCUGGAAGGGCAAUGCACAUAACUCCACCAGGGCAGAAGCUCCUAUGCUCAGGACCCUCCCGGACCGCACCCUGUGUUUCUCUUCAUCUGGCUGUUUCUUUGUAUCUCUUAUCCUGUCUUUUAAUAAACUGGUACACGUGUUUCC
ensembl:lncRNA